AAGGAAAAAAGGACCAAGUUAACUAAUUCAGUUUCUGAGAUUAUACCGACUUAAUGGCAUUGCAAUAAUGUCUAUUUUCCCAGAAAAGGAGAGAUUUUAAAGUUGUACAAAAAAGUACGGAUUUUAAAUACUGUAACGGAGAUUUACGGAACUAGAAUUAACUGGGUCACUGUCUAUCCUGGAUUUGCUAGGUAACUUACCCAUAUCCAUUUAAUACAGCCUUGGCAACUUUGCCUUUUCCUUAAGGGGGAAUUGGACUCUUAUCUACUCCCUUAAAAUCUGAAAUAAUAACUCUUCUAAAAAAUGGCCACAGUAUUUGUGCUAAAUUGAAAAUGAAUUUUUCCUUUAAGGCAGAAUGACUUCAGGAAAACACCAUGAAGUCGGGACGAUUUCACAAAAGAGGACGAGAGGGUAUGGUGUUAAGUUUCACAAACAGCAGCCUCACUGGUCACUAAGCUCAGUGCUGUGGCCAAGAAUCAAGGUUCCCCCAGUGUCCCAGCGUCUGAGUGGCAUCAUUCACCACUGAUUUUUCAAGCCACGAAAUGCACAGUCCAGUAGGGCACGUGAUAAUCUCUCCUUUGUCAUGGAACAAAGGCAGAUCGGAGUUUUCAGCCCUCACUGCAAGGGAGGGUUUACAAGGGCUUCUGAUUACAGGCGGGAGGGAGGACGUGGCACCAGGCAAGAGUCUGGGCCCCAUGUACAUUUGGCUGCCUAUUAAUCCAAAGAUAAAGCCCUCCUACAUCAGCACCAGCUCCUUUUGUUGUAAAACCCAUAAGGUCAUUAAACAAAUAUUGACUAAAGAAAUAUACAAAUCCUAUCCAAAAUAGAUUAGUGACAACAACAAAAAAUCUUGAUCAAGUCAAAUUUAUUUAUUGGGCACCUACUGUGUGCAAGAUUGAGUGUGUCCCAUCAGGAAACAGCACUCCCAAUAAAGGAAAGCAUGGAUGUGGUAUUUACUUAAGACAGGGUGCCUGUAUUGGAGACCUGAUUUGGGAAUCCCUGAAAGUAACCUGUUCUUUAUUCACACAAUGAGUUUUAGUGCAGCAGGUGAUGUUUUCUUUUUAAAACCCAGUGUAUUGAUCCGAUAAUCUAAAGAUCCUCUACACCAACAACAAAUAAUUUUUGUUUAUUAAAUCGACACUAAACAAAAUUUUCUCUUCCAAGCCAGAUUUAUUCGCGUUAUUAAAACUUCUCACUUAAAAUGUUGGAGGAAAAAAAAUCUGGUCCGAGAGGAGAUGGGGAGGGGAGUGGAGGGAGCCGGUUUCUCCCGGCCGCGCCCCUCCCCCACCAAAGAAUUGAGCAAGGCUCGGGAGCGCAGCGGACUGGGAGGAAGACAAUAGGGUACGUUAACUCGGCCCGCGGUAAGGAAGAGCGCUCCACACUCUCAGGCUGCACUCCCAGGUGCCAAGAACCAGAAGGUAAUUACCUUCUCUGCUGCUGUGUGAUACAUGAAAGAAUAUCAGCCUCCAAGUAAUUCCCAGAACUGGCAAGGCACUCUGGAUCUGUGCUUUGUGAACCAUUUCAGAACCAGCAAAUGAAACUGCACAAUUAAAAGAGCAAAGCCCUUCACCUCUGCCCAGGAGUUCCCCAGGCAUCCUAUCAGGGGUGUUGUCCAGGACUUUGACAAUUGGAGGCCCAACCCAGGACUUAGAGUGGUAUCCAGUACAACUGCUUGUGGCUGCCGAGGAACAUUGUGCAGUUUGCUAACAUAUGCCGAAAGGAAAGAAGGCCAAGGGGAAGAAGGUGGCUCCGGCCCCUGCUGUCGUGAAGAAGCAGGAGGCUAAGAAAGUGGUGAAUCCCCUGUUUGAGAAAAGGCUUAAGAAUUUUGGCAUUGGACAGGACACCCAGCCCAAAAGAGACCUCACCCGCUUUGUGAAAUGGCCCUGCUAUAUCAGGUUGCAGCGACAGAGAGCCAUCCUCUAUAAGGGGCUGAAAGUGCCUCCUGCAAUUAACCAGUUCACCCAGGCCCUGGACCGCCAAACAGCUACUCAGCUGCUUAAGCUGCCCACAAGUAGAGACCAGAGACAAAGCAAGAGAAGAAGCAGAGGCUGUUGGCCCGGGCCGAGAAGAAAGCGGCUGGCAAAGGGGACAUGCCCUCUAAGAGACCACCUGUCCUUUGAGCAGGAGUUAACACCGUCACCACCUUGGUGGAGAACAAGAAAGCUCAGCUGGUGGUGAUUGCACACGAUGUGGAUCCCAUUGAGCUGGCUGUCUUCUUGCCUGCCCUGUGUCAUAAAAUGGGAGUCCCUUAUUGCAUUAUCAAGGGGAAGGCAAGACUGGGACGUCUAGUCCACAGGAAGACCUGCACCACUGUCGCCUUCACACAGGUUAACUCAGAAGACAAAGGUGCUUUGGCUAAGCUGGUGGAAGCUAUCCGCACCAAUUACAAUGACAGAUAUGAUGAGAUCCGCCGUCACUGGAGAGGCAAUGUUCUGGGUCCCAAGUCUGUGGCUCGCAUCGCCAAGCUCGAAAAGGCAAAGGCUAAAGAACUUGCCACGAAACUGUGUUACAUGUGCACUGUUGAGUUUUCUGUACAUAAAAAUAAUUAAAACAAUACAAAUUUUCCUUC